rnacentral:rRNA from 1 species
AACGCUAGCUACAGGCUUAACACAUGCAAGUCGAGGGGAAACGACAUCGAAAGCUUGCUUUUGAUGGGCGUCGACCGGCGCACGGGUGAGUAACGCGUAUCCAACCUGCCCACCACUUGGGGAUAACCUUGCGAAAGUAAGACUAAUACCCAAUGAUAUCUCUAGAAGACAUCUGAAAGAGAUUAAAGAUUUAUCGGUGAUGGAUGGGGAUGCGUCUGAUUAGCUUGUUGGCGGGGUAACGGCCCACCAAGGCAACGAUCAGUAGGGGUUCUGAGAGGAAGGUCCCCCACAUUGGAACUGAGACACGGUCCAAACUCCUACGGGAGGCAGCAGUGAGGAAUAUUGGUCAAUGGACGAGAGUCUGAACCAGCCAAGUAGCGUGCAGGAAGACGGCCCUAUGGGUUGUAAACUGCUUUUAUAAGGGAAUAAAGUGAGUCUCGUGAGACUUUUUGCAUGUACCUUAUGAAUAAGGACCGGCUAAUUCCGUGCCAGCAGCCGCGGUAAUACGGAAGGUCCGGGCGUUAUCCGGAUUUAUUGGGUUUAAAGGGAGCGUAGGCCGGAGAUUAAGCGUGUUGUGAAAUGUAGACGCUCAACGUCUGCACUGCAGCGCGAACUGGUUUCCUUGAGUACGCACAAAGUGGGCGGAAUUCGUGGUGUAGCGGUGAAAUGCUUAGAUAUCACGAAGAACUCCGAUUG